AGCUUUGCGCAGUGGCAGUAUCGUAGCCAAUGACGUUUAUCCGAGGUGCAAUUAUUGCUAUAAUCUGGCCCUAGUCUACCUGUUUAUAAUAUUUUUUCAACUUUCAUUCAUUCAUUGAU
ensembl:snRNA U4 U4 spliceosomal RNA